GAUCCAAAACAUUUAACGCGGGGUGAAAGAAUGAAACGCUUCAGCUUCAUCACAUGGUUGCUUCAUAACCACUGUGCUCUGCAGUCGCAGAAAAAAAACUACUGGACUAAGAGUAAUUUAAAAGGUUGUUCAUCUACUCUGCAGUCAGCCUGUUCUUUCCCUACCAGUUUCGGCCGCCUUGGAAAGACCUCGCUAGCUCCAGUAAUUCCCUACUAAGGGCGACUUGAAACCGCCUGUACUGAAUAGCGUUUGCUGUUCCGUUACCUCCCCUCCGCAAAUAAAAUCCCGGAAGUUACCCGGGGUUUGAGAAGGGGUACAUGAAGAUGACUGUUCGUGCCACUGGGAGGGCUAAACAAACAUUGGUGCAGGAUGGAAACUGCAGGGCAGAGGAAGACAUGGGCAUCACAGAGGAAGAAAGGCAGCGAGCCCUUGCGGCUGAUUGCAAAUGACACGUCUCCCUCUCGGAUUGACAUUCCACUCACACGUGAAAGAGGGAAAGACAGGAAGAGGGAGGGAGAGAGCGAGCGAGAGCGAAGGCACCCUCUCCUGCAUCUCUUGAAAUAGACUGCUUGUUAGAUGAUAUCAACAACUGCUGAAUUAAACAAUCCAUAUGUGUUAAUGAGUAAAUGUUUGCCGUGUAUUUCACCUCUGAUAUCUGGCUGCUAAAAGCCUAGAAAACACCAUGGCCCCCUGCAAACAGAGACCUGUCUGAACAGUCUUUUUUGAUGUAGUGUCAAUGCCUGUGGAAAAUUGGGCUCCUUCUUCAAGGUAGGAUAAGCCCUCUUCCUUUGUGUGGAAUUGCAAAAAAAUAAAAAAUGGCAUUCACCAUCUAAAAUGGAGAAUACUCUACAAUCAUCGCACAUAGCUCAAACAGGAGCUUGAACUACGUCAGAAUAGAAAUAUGCCACAAAGGGAGGUUUGCUAAAUUAAGUUUCAAAAAACGAAAAAAGUUCAAUAAUGGUGAUGAUGAUGAUUUUCAUGCAUAUGAAUGACAAAGCAUUCUGAAUGUGAAUUUCUGAAACUGAAAGUCGUUUAAGCCUUUAUAAAAGUAACCCAACAAAGUAACCACCAAAAAAGUAGGACAUGCAUAUCCCAGGGCUGGACAAUCCGUUUCCAUGGAAACCUUAAAUGCAGGGGUAAAAUAUAUUUUCUGAGAGGAACAGCUGUGUAAACCACUCCCUCCAGUAUAUCGGAAUUACAAGAGAAUUUGUGCAGGAAUUCCUUGGGUCACAAUUGGUUGACACAUUAACGUAUGUACAUUUGCAUUGUUUGCCUUUGUCCUAAAUGACGUGGCACCAACCUCUGGUGACAGUGUAGCAUAAUGGUUAGGUAGUUUUUUCUUUAUUUUUUUGUAACAUUGCUAUGUGCAGGAAGAUCAUAAGAUACACCAUCAUGUAUCUUUUCAAUGAUAUGUUCAGCCAUAGUGAAUAUUUCUCUUUCAAUGCAAUCUAGCACAAACAACUAAGCACAGCAGCUGUUGGGUGGAAAGCAAGUGUGAGGUUUUGAUUUUUAUUCCUCCUGGUGGUGUACAAAUCAAAAUCGUGUUCUGAAGUUUUGACAGUUUGCUAAAGAAAUAUGCAGAGCUAAACUCUCAAUGAAGCACUAUACAUGACCCAUAAUCCUCACACUUUCAUGAAUUACACUUCCAUCUGACACAUUCUAAAAAUUAACAGUGUACCAAUUUAGGUUCAAAACUAAUGUAUGCUAAAUAUUAUGGGCAGUUGUAAAACUAUAUGGUACUCCUAUGUUUAAUAAAUCUGUGAAGAAAAAUUUCUAUUUGAUGGAACAAUAUUGAGCUCUUUACUAUUUUCUGUUGU